rnacentral:rRNA from 1 species
UACGUAGGGGGCAAGCGUUGUCCGGAUUUAUUGGAGCGUAAAGAGCGUGUAGGCGGCCUGACAGGUCUGCUGUGAAAACUCGAGGCUCAACCUCGAGAUGUCGGCGGAAACCGUCUGGCUAGAGUCCGGAAGAGGAGAGUGGAAUUCCUGGUGUAGCGGUGAAAUGCGCAGAUAUCAGGAAGAACACCUAUGGCGAAGGCAGCUCUCUGGGACGGUACUGACGCUGAGACGCGAAAGCGUGGGGAGCGAACAGG